GUGUCUUAGAUUGCCAUGUACAUUUUGAUUGUGACAUGCAAACAUGGAUUCUGCUUUGGAAAAUGGUUAAAUUGCAUGCAGAUUUCUGUGAAGAUUCAUAAUCCCAAAAACAAAGGAGGGGGAAUGAACAUUAUAGGACUGACUCUGCCAACACAUACUUAGAAGAAACACUUUCACAGCUGUACAGACGGGGAGAAAAGAAGUCAUGGGAUUAAGGUACUAAAUCAUCAGGCUGCCAACAUUAUCCAAAUAGUUACCAGCUUCCGUGUAUGAUGUUUUCAAAGUGGAAAAGAAGUUAUUAGAGACUGAUUCAGACCAUCAGUUACCAUUACUUUAUACAGUGUCAGUGUAAUUCAAUUUAAUCUCCCUUAACCAUUAAAAAGUUUAAGACUACAUUCCAAGGUAAUAGUUCAUUUUAAAUCUACUUUAAUAAAUUAUACAUGUAUGAAUUUGUACAUGUAUGUUCUCUAUGUAUCAUUUUAAAGUAUGUAAGAUACCUUUGAUAAUUAAACAGACAAGCCAUGUUGAUAUUAAUAAGUUUAGACAAACUGUCACUGACUUUAAUACACUAUUGACUAACAAAAGGUAGUUCAAGGCUUUAGCUUUGAGCUUGAUAAAAAUGUCAGGGUAUGUUUGAGAAAUCUGUCCUUAUUAUACUAUAAAAGUAACUAUAAUACUUCAAUAUUUUCAAAAGAAUAAAAAGUCAAUUAUUUUUCCUUUAUAAGUAAAGUUAGAAUAUCUCAUUUGAUAUUUUGACAAUCAUGAUUUUGGUUUGCCUAUAUAUUCUGGGGUGAAGAAUAAGACAAGUUGGCCAAAAUGAAAGGAGAUUUUUACCAGACUACCUUUUGGUAUUCUUCAGUAAAUUCAUAAGGAAACAUUUUCCAACACAGCAGUGUACCCAGUGCUUUAAAGUAAAAACAGUAGCCUAAACCCUUGUCUCACUUUGGUAAAAGUAGAACAUAAAUGAAUCUCCAACUUCAGAAUUACAUACUUGUUAGAAUGGAGCUUGGAUUAAAAUGUUAAAAUCAUUAACUAGAGAAGGAAAUGUCUCCAUUAGUUCAAUCUAUUAACCAAUAGUUUCACAGGAAAAUAAAAAUCUGC
ensembl:lncRNA